UACGUAGGGGGCAAGCGUUGUCCGGAAUGACUGGGCGUAAAGGGAGUGUAGGCGGCUCAUCAAGUUAGAUGUGAAAUCCCGCGGCUUAACCGUGGAACUGCACAUAAAACUGGAGGGCUGGAGUGCAGGAGAGGUAAGUGGAAUUCCUAGUGUAGCGGUGGAAUGCGUAGAUAUUAGGAGGAACACCAGAGGCGAAGGCGACUUACUGGACUGUAACUGACGCUGAGGCUCGAAAGCGUGGGGAGCAAACAGG
rnacentral:rRNA from 1 species